UACGAAGGGGGCUAGCGUUGUUCGGAAUUACUGGGCGUAAAGCGCACGUAGGCGGGUUGUUAAGUCAGGGGUGAAAUCCUGGAGCUCAACUCCAGAACUGCCUUUGAUACUGGCAACCUAGAGGCUGGAAGAGGUUAGUGGAAUUCCCAGUGUAGAGGUGAAAUUCGUAGAUAUUGGGAAGAACACCAGUGGCGAAGGCGGCUAACUGGUCCAGUUCUGACGCUGAGGUGCGAAAGCGUGGGGAGCAAACAGG
rnacentral:rRNA from 1 species